AUUGAACGCUGGCGGCAUGCUUUACACAUGCCAGUCGAACGGCAGCGCGGGCUUCGGCCUGGCGGCGAGUGGCGAACGGGUGAGUAAUACAUCGGAACGUGUCCAGUAGUGGGGGAUAGCUCGGCGAAAGCCGGAUUAAUACCGCAUACGACCUGAGGGUGAAAGCGGGGGAUCUUCGGACCUCGCGCUAUUGGAGCGGCCGAUGGCAGAUUAGCUAGUUGGUGGGGUAAAGGCCUACCAAGGCGACGAUCUGUAGCUGGUCUGAGAGGACGACCAGCCACACUGGGACUGAGACACGGCCCAGACUCCUACGGGAGGCAGCAGUGGGGAAUUUUGGACAAUGGGCGAAAGCCUGAUCCAGCAAUGCCGCGUGUGUGAUGAAGGCCUUCGGGUUGUAAAGCACUUUUGGCGGGAACGAAAAGGACUGUGCCAAUACCACGGUUCGAUGACGGUACCCGCAGAAUAAGCACCGGCUAACUACGUG
rnacentral:rRNA from 1 species